rnacentral:misc_RNA from 1 species
GAUAAGAACGUAGCGAAAUGCGAUACCUGGUGUGAAUUGCAGAAUCCCGCGAACCAUCGAGUCUUUGAACGCAAGUUGCGCCCGAGGCCACCCGGCCGAGGGCACGCCUGCCUGGGCGUCACGCCAAAACACGCUCCCCCCCCCCCUCACCGGGGGAGCGGGACGCGGCGUCUGGCCCCCCGUGCCGCGAGGCGCGGUGGGCCGAAGAUCGGGCUGCCGGCGUACCGUGCCGGGCACAGCGCGUGGUGGAUCUCUACUCGGCGCAGUGCACCCGGCGCGUAGCCAGCGCAGCGGCCCCUAAGGACCCAACGAACGGAGCGCGAGCCGCUCCGACCGCGACCCCAGGUCAGGCGGGACUACCCGCUGAGUUUAAGCAUAUCAAUAAGCGGAGGA